GACGAAGGGGGCUAGCGUUGUGCGGAAUUACUGGGCGUAAAGCGCGUGUAGGCGGUUGCCCAAGUCGGGUGUGAAAGCCUUGAGCUCAACUCAAGAAAUGCACUCGGUACUGGGUGACUAGAGGACCGGAGAGGAUAGUGGAAUUCCCAGUGUAGUGGUGAAAUACGUAGAGAUUGGGAAGAACACCAGUGGCGAAGGCGGCUAUCUGGACGGUUUCUGACGCUAAGACGCGAAAGCGUGGGGAGCAAACAGG
rnacentral:rRNA from 1 species